UUGCGGCCAUAUCACGUUAAAACAUAAGUUCCCGUACGAUCACUGAAGUUAAGCAACAUCGAGUCUGGCCAGUGCCUAGGUGGAUGACCACUUGGGAAUAUCAGGAGCUGUAAG